GACGAACGCUGGCGGCGUGCUUAACACAUGCAAGUCGAACGGAAAGGCCCUGCUUUUGUGGGGUGCUCGAGUGGCGAACGGGUGAGUAACACGUGAGUAACCUGCCCUUGACUUUGGGAUAACUUCAGGAAACUGGGGCUAAUACCGGAUAGGAGCUCCUGCUGCAUGGUGGGGGUUGGAAAGUUUCGGCGGUUGGGGAUGGACUCGCGGCUUAUCAGCUUGUUGGUGGGGUAAUGGCUUACCAAGGCUUUGACGGGUAGCGGGCCUGAGAGGGUAACCGGCCUCAUUGGGACUUGGAUACGACCCAGACUGCUACGGAAGGCAGCAGAGAGGAAUAUUGCCCAAUGGGCGGAAACCUGAUGCAGCAACGCCGCGUGCGGGAUGACGGCCUUCGGGUUGUAGACCGCUUGCUCCUAUGACGAAGCGUGAGUGACGGUAAUGGGUAAAGAAGGACCGGCUAACUACGUG
rnacentral:rRNA from 1 species